rnacentral:rRNA from 1 species
UUCCGCUCUGGGAUGGCCUCGCGGCCUAUGCGCUUGUUGGGGACGUAACGGCUCCCCUCGGCGACUACUGGUAGCUGGUCUGAGAGGACGAUCAGCCUCACUGGGACUGAGACACGGCCCAGACUCCUACGGGAGGCAACAUUUAGGAAUCUUGCGCAAUGCGCUAAAGCGUGACGCAGCAGCGCCACGUGGGGGAAGAAGGCCUUCGGGUUGUAAACCCCUUUCAAUUGGGACGAACCUUCGCCGGUGAAUAGCCGGCCGGAGUGACGGUACCUUCACAAGAAGCCCCGGCUAACUACG